rnacentral:rRNA from 1 species
CUGUGAGUUUGAUCCUGGCUCAGAGUUAACGCUAGUGGCGCGCCUUAAUACAUGCAAGUCUUUUGUAUUUAUCAUUAGAUAAUAUAUUAGGCGAACGGGUGAGGAAUAAACUAGUAUCUGCCUUUAGGUGGGGGACAAGAAUCUAAGUUUAUUUUUAAUAAAUAUGAUUUAAUACCGCAUAUUGAAAGUCUUUGGAUGCCUAGAGAUGAGCUAGUUUAAGAUUAGGUAGUUGGUUAGGUAAUGGCUAACCAAGCCAAUGAUCUUUAGUGGUUCUGAGAGGAAGUACCACCACACGGGAACUGAGACAAGGUCCUGACUCAUUAUGAGGCAGCAGUAGGGAAUUUUGGACAAUGAAGGAAACUUUGAUCCAGCGACGCCACGUGGAGGACAAACUAAAUGAAGGCUUAAGUGUUGUAAACUCCACUUUUUUGGGAAGAAAAUGACAUUACCAAAAAAAAAGUCCUGGCUAAUCUUGUGCCAGCCGCCGCGGUAAUACAAGAAGGGCAAGCGUUAUUCGGAAUGAUUUGGUCUAAAACAUCUGUAGGUGGUUUAAAAAGGUUGAUGGUAAAAAGUUUUCUCCCAAAGAAAUCCAAGCUAUCAAAACCAUUAAACUGGGAGUUAAAGAGGGGAAAAUAGAAUUCCUAGGGUACGAUUGAAAUUGGUAAAUACUAGGAGGAAUCACAGAGGCGAAGGCGAUUUUCUGGCUUUAACUGACACUGGAGGAUGAAAGCAUGGGCAGUAAUCGGGAUUAGAGACCCCAGUAAAUCCAUGCCGUAAAAGAUGUAUGUUCGUUUUCUGUCUUGCUUUUUGGAGCUUACGGGAAACUAAGCGAAGGCGUUAAACAUACUACCUGGGGAGUACGGUCGCAAGGCUGAAACUCAAAGGAAUUGACGGGAGCAUAAUACAAGUGGUGGAUGACGGGAGUUAAUUCGAUGAUACGCGCAAAACCUUACCAGUUCUAGACUGUAGUAAUAGGUUCUUUUGAACCUGUGGUUUAUAUUUUGAGAAAAAUAAUAAGCCUUGACUAAUUCAAGCGUUGCAUGGUUGUCGUCAGUUCGUGUUGUGAGAUAUUUGGUUAAGUCCUCCAACGAACGCAACCCUUAUUCUAUGUAUCUAAUUUCAUGAUGAAAACUAAACCAUAGAAGACUGCUUAGGACAACUAAGAGGAAGGAGGGGAUGAUGUGCAAAUCUUCAUGGCCUUUAUGAACUGGGCUGUACCCGUCAUACAAUGGUAAGGACAGCGAGAAGCAAUGGAGUGAUCCGGAGCAAAUCUUAGAAACCUUAUCUUAGUUUGGAUUGAAGGCUGCAACUCGCCUUCAUGAAAGUGGAAUCACUAGUAAUCGCGGAUCAGCAUGCCGCGGUGAAUCCGUUCUUAUGCUUUGUACAGACCGCCCGUCACAUUAGGAAAUUUUUGGAGACCCGAUACGUUUAAGUUUAACCUCUUAUAUCGAAAGAUGAGGAAGACAUGCAUUAGGGCCUACAAAUUGAUCGUAAUGAAGUCGUAACAAGGUAGCCGUAGAAGAAUCUGUGGCUGAAUUAAAAC